GGGGGAUAUUGCACAAUGGGGGGAACCCUGAUGCAGCGACGCCGCGUGGGCGAGGGAGCGCCUCGGCGCGUAAAGCCCUUUCGGCGGGGGAGAACGAUGACGGUACCCGACGAAGAAGCACCGGCUAAAUACGUGCC
rnacentral:rRNA from 1 species